GUACAUUUAUCUUCAAGCGGAUGAAUGCCUAGCUAUACUACCCCCUGAAGACUUGUUUGGGAAAAUGCUUUUAAUGUCCUCAGGGAUGGUUAUUAACAGGGUGGAAAUAUGGAAAUAGGCUAACGAGAACAUGUUCUCUGAGAAUGGCUGGUGAUGCAUGGUAACUUUUUUUGUUCUUGAGAUGAUAAAUUCAACAGGGUGAUGACAUUAUUAAGUCAGCCUUGUUGUCUGCUGGACACUGACUGGUCAGAAGACCCAAUGAAAUUGUUUAGUUAGAAUAGACAGGAAGAGUGAAUGUCUCGGUCUGCUAGGGCUGCUAUAAUACCAUAGAAUGGGGGCUUAAACAACCUUUAUUUCUCACAGUUCUGGAGUUUGGAAGACUAAGACUGACGUGCCAGUAGAUUCAGUUCUUAGCAAACACCCUUUUCCUGGUUUACAGACGGCUGCUUUCUCAUACAUCCUCAAGGGGUGGAGACAGGAACCUCUAGUAUCUCUUCCUCUCCCUAUAAAGGCACUAAUCUCACCAUGGAGGCUCCACCCUUAUGACCUCAUCUACACCUAAUUACCUUCCAAAGGCCCCACCUACUAGUACCAUCAGACAGGGUGAGGACUUGAACAUAUGAUCUAGGGGUGUGGGACAAGAACAAACAGUCUUUAACAAUAGACAAGGCAGACGUCUGCAAGUGUGAUUAUGGAUAACAGCAAAAAUCAAAGGUGAUGUACAACAGUGAGAAAAAGAUCUCUUUAGAUAACUAUCAUUUUCAUUAAGCAGUAGUCCAUGAUCAAAACUAAGAUAAUGUGUUUUAAAUGAGUUGCUUGAGGAAGUUGCUCAGGGAGUAAGGGAGUCAGGGGGAAUAUUUCAGUAAGGCUGUUUGGUAAGCUAGAACACUGGAGAGCACCUAAGCUUUUCAUGUUUACACAAUAGUAAACUGCAUGUCAUCUCAUAUUGGGAGGAGACCUGUCCACGUACCAGUCACCCAGCAAUCUUGGUUACGAAUGUUGCCAGCAUCAGGUAGCCAUUUUCGUCAAGCAACAGGACCUGUACUGCUGCUGAUAGAUUUGCUAGUGUUGAGGGGAGAUACUUCUUAUCCCUGAAAGGAUCAAACUCCUUGAGAGUCAGCAAUGGCUGCCAGCAGUGUGUUAAUUACAGUAGUCAAAUGGAAGACUAGAAAAUGAAAGGACCAGUCCCAGCAAUGCUUACCAUGGCCUAGGGGUCAUUUUGCUCUAAAAGCAUGUCCUGGUUUGAGGUAAAAUAUUUGAAAUGACUAAUGUAGUGGCACCACUAUGUUAGCUCUAAAAUGUGAAGGGAACAGUAACCAACCAAUUGUCCCAACUAUCACUCAUGAGUCCACGGUGACAUAGUAUCCUCCAUCAGUAGUUAUCUCCUGACCUUAGUAAAUAACCUAUUGAAACUGAACGAAAUACAUACUCCAAAAAUACUACAAACAAAUCUAUCAAACUGUGUCGCUGGUUAGAUACAUCUGAAGAGGUAUAUAGCGGUGAGAGAUGCCCAAAAGAUUCAAAAGAGUUCUGAAAGGGCAAAGAGAGACAGAGCAUGAGCUAGGGAGGAGCAGAAGACAGAGGGAGACACAGAAUCCGAAGCAGGCUCCAGGCCCUGAGCUGUCAGCACAGAGCCCGACGUGGGGCUCAAACACACGAACUGCGAGAGAUCAUGACCUAAGCCGAAGUUGGACGCCCAACCGGCUGAGCCACCCUGGCGCCCCUAGAUCUUUUACUUUUUAAGAAACAUUGGAGUAAAGCUCUAGGGCACACAGAAUUUUAUUAUUUUGCUCUAUCGCUUCUUUUUAUUUUGUGUUUAACGAUUUAAGUUUUAGCUCAAUGAAUUAUGACAAAACAAACUCACAUGCACACCACCAGGCAUAGCACCAGGUCAAGAAAUAGAACACUGACAGUCUCCAAGAGCCCUAUUUGAAGUUUUCUUCCAAAACAGUACUACCUCCCAGCCCCCAUUAUCCUGUAGUUUAUAAUAACUACUUUUCCUUGUUUUACUGCCUAAACAUGCAUCUCCACACAUCAGAGUUUAUUUUUAUUACAUUUUUGAAUUUU